GACGAACGCUGGCGGCGUGCCUAAUACAUGCAAGUUGAGCGCUGAAGGUUGGUACUUGUACCAACUGGAUGAGCAGCGAACGGGUGAGUAACGCGUGGGGAAUCUGCCUUUGAGCGGGGGACAACAUUUGGAAACGAAUGCUAAUACCGCAUAAAAACUUUAAACACAAGUUUUAAGUUUGAAAGAUGCAAUUGCAUCACUCAAAGAUGAUCCCGCGUUGUAUUAGCUAGUUGGUGAGGUAAAGGCUCACCAAGGCGAUGAUACAUAGCCGACCUGAGAGGGUGAUCGGCCACAUUGGAACUGAGACACGGCCCAAACUCCUACGGGAGGCAGCAGUAGGGAAUCUUCGGCAAUGGACGAAAGUCUGACCGAGCAACGCCGCGUGAGUGAAGAAGGUUUUCGGAUCGUAAAACUCUGUUGGUAGAGAAGAACGUUGGUGAGAGUGGAAAGCUCAUCAAGUGACGGUAACUACCCAGAAAGGGACGGCUAACUACGU
rnacentral:rRNA from 1 species